rnacentral:rRNA from 1 species
GAUGAACGCUAGCUACAGGCUUAACACAUGCAAGUCGAGGGGCAGCGCAGUGUAGCAAUACAUGGGCGGCGACCGGCGCACGGGUGCGUAACGCGUAUCCAACCUUCCCGUUACUUAGGGAUAGCCUUCCGAAAGGGAGAUUAAUACCUGAUGGUGUUUGAAUUCCGCAUGUUAUUCAAACUAAAGAUUUAUCGGUAACGGAUGGGGAUGCGUGACAUUAGAUAGUAGGCGGGGUAACGGCCCACCUAGUCUACGAUGUCUAGGGGUUCUGAGAGGAAGGUCCCCCACACUGGAACUGAGACACGGUCCAGACUCCUACGGGAGGCAGCAGUGAGGAAUAUUGGUCAAUGGUCGGAAGACUGAACCAGCCAAGUAGCGUGAAGGAUGAAGGUUCUAUGGAUUGUAAAACUUCUUUUAUACGGGAAUAAAAACCCACCUACGUGUAGGUGCUUUGUAUGUACCGUAUGAAUAAGCAUCGGCUAACUCCGUGC